AUUUGAACUCCUAUGACUGGUUGCGGACUUGAAGGGAACAACUUCCUGGCUUUCCUGACAUCCAGGAAAAAGUUUUAUUGGACAGUAGAGAUCUACUGGAAACAGUGGAGAGGGAGGAGAUGAUAUGCAGCAAAAGGCCCAGCCGGAUGGUUGCUGCUCCGUGUGGAACGUGUUCUAUAAGAAAGGAUCAUGCCAGCCCACAUCAAACACCGGAUCAAGA